GAUGAAGAACGUAGCGAAAUGCGAUAAGUAAUGUGAAUUGCAGAAUUCAGUGAAUCAUCGAAUCUUUGAACGCACAUUGCGCCCUUGGGUAUUCCUAGGGGCAUGCCUGUUCGAGCGUCAUUUCAACCAUCAAGCCCCCGGCUUGUGUUGGGGACCUGCGGCUGCCGCAGGCCCUGAAAACCAGUGGCGGGCUCGCUAGUCACUCCGAGCGUAGUAAUACAUCUCGCUCAGGGCGUGCUGCGGGUUCCGGCCGUUAAAAAGCCUUAUUUACCCAAGGUUGACCUCGGAUCAGGUAGGAAGACCCGCUGAACUUAAGCAUAUCAAUAAGCGGAGGA
rnacentral:misc_RNA from 1 species